rnacentral:tRNA from 1 species
GCCGGUGUGGCGGAAUUGGCAGACGCGCGGGACUCAAAAAAUCCCGUUCCACUUGUGGAGUGUCGGUUCGACCCCGACCACCGGUA